GGUGACAUUGUUUUUUUUUUUUUUUUUUUUAAGGAAGGUGGUGACAUUGUUGUUCUCCAUAUAGAAGUAUAUUUUCAUAAUUAAUAUCCACGAGGGCUGUUCAGAAAAAAUCAAAAGGUUUAAGUAAUAUAAAUUAAAAUUGCUCAAAUACCUCCCCGGGUCUUUUAAGUUUCAUGUUUGUUUCAGAUAGAUCAUUUAAGUUUCUAAGGUUUCAGAUGAGUCCUUUAAGUUUCAAGUUUGUUUCGGACAGUUCCUUUAAGUUUCGAGUUAGUUUCAGAUAGGUCCUUUCUAUCAACCUCUGUUAAGCCAAAGUUGAUCUGGUUAGGGAAAAAAUUGAUGCCAAGUGUCAGAGAGAACCAACUCACCAAUUAACGGACAUAUCAGCUUUGGUUUAACGGACAUAUCAACUUUGGCUUAACGGAGGUUGACAGGAAGGAUCUAUCCGAAACAAACUCGAAACUUAAAAGACCUAUCUGAAAUCUUAAAAACUUAAAGGACCUAUCUGAAACAAACGCGAAAUUUAAAGGACCGAGAGUGGUAUUUGGCCAUUAAAAUUCAAAUGGCAAGUUUAUAUAUAUAUAUAUAUAUAUAUAUAUAUAUAUAUAUAUAUAUAUAUAUAUAUAUAUAUAUAUAUAUAUAUAUAUAUAUAUAUAUAUAAGGCUGUUAAUUUACACCAACAUGAAAAUACUAAGGUGCAAGUUAGCAAGCUACACCCACCUAAAAUUAUUAAGGUGCAAGUUAGCAACCUACAUCUACUUGAUUAUUUACACUCAUUUUUAUAAUUUUUAACAAAUAAUUUGCACCCACCUCACUAAUUUACAUUCACUUUCAUGCAAUGACAGUGAAGAUUACUACAAACGCCGAUCAUAUCAUCAGGACAAUUUCGUUGACAAAGAUGUUUAAAGUCCUCAAGACAAGGAUACAAAAAAUCUGUGUUGUAUAACAAGAAGUAAAGAGUGUUAUGAAAAUGAAUAAAAAGUUGUGCAUAAAGUAGUGCAAAAACUCUGAGAAAUUAAAAUAGAGAAAGACAUUACCAGAGUUUACAACCCUAACAAGAAAAAAUAUGAAAA
rnacentral:lncRNA from 1 species